UAGGAUGGUUCUAGAAGACUUCUGAAGGCCCUAAGCUAGGUGAAACGAUGAGCAGUCAUCCAUGUCACUUGAAGGUCGUUCACUUCAGUUCUCACGUAGAGCCAGGGGCUCCAUGCCAAGCUGCGUGGGAGCUGGAGGUGCCGUGAGGGUGACGUCCGGCCCUGCGCUCCCCAGGGGGCUCAGGGGCCGGUGAGACAGACCGACCAGCAACUCAACACCUGCCGUGUGGUCCAUCCACAUACCACAGAAGUGUAUGCAACAGAGCAAAGAGGAGGGUCUUGUCUCGGGGUGCUGGGCCACAGCUGCUUCUGGCCCCUCCCCCUUGCUGAAAAGCAGCCACCACGACGACGACGACGAUAUGGAGAACACGAAACAGAAACACAAACUCUCAUCUUCAAGGAAACCAGGAGACACCUGUGAACCCAGACCAGCCAGCGCCCAGCACACAAUGGGAUGUUAGCAUACGCAUCGUAAGGAGAGACUCGAUGUGCUUGCACCCUUGGACAUGCUCUCUUGUGCUGACAAAAGAACAUGCCUUGGUAAGCCCAGUGGAUCCAAGAAUGGGAUGGCAGAGGUACCCAGCUGCCUGCAGCUCAGAGCCGACCUGCCUAGAUUAACCCACUCCAGCUGACCUGAAAGUGUGAGGUACAAUAAAUGCUUAUUCUCGUGCACCAAA